ensembl:rRNA 5S_rRNA 5S ribosomal RNA
GUCUAUGGCCAUACCACCCUGAAGGCGCCUGAUCUCGUCUGAUCUCAGAAGCUAAGCAGGGUCGGGUCUGGUUAGUACUUGGAUGGGAGACAGCCUGGGAAUACUGGGUGCUACAGGCU